rnacentral:rRNA from 1 species
AGUGAACGCUGGCGGCAGGCCUAAUACAUGCAAGUCGAACGGCAGCACAGUGGAGCUUGCUCCAUGGGUGGCGAGUGGCGGACGGGUGAGGAAUACAUGGGAAUCUGCCCAGUCGUGGGGGAUAACGUAUGGAAACGUACGCUAAUACCGCAUGCGCCCUUCGGGGAAAGUCGGGACCGCAGGCCUGACGCGAUUGGAUGAGCCCAUGUUCGAUUAGCUAGUUGGCGGGGUAACGGCCCACCAAGGCGACGAUCGAUAGCUGGUCUGAGAGGAUGAUCAGCCACACUGGAACUGAGACACGGUCCAGACUCCUACGGGAGGCAGCAGUAGGGAAUAUUGGACAAUGGGCGCAAGCCUGAUCCAGCCAUGCCGCGUGAGUGAAGAAGGCCCUCGGGUUGUAAAGCUCUUGUUCGGAGUAGGACGAUAGGUAUACGAGUUAAGUAACUUCGAAGUUACCGAAGUAGUAACGGUACCGUACCGGAACGGUAAACGUUCGACCGGCCUAACGUCCG